CUGCAGGAGGGGGCUCAAGCCUGCCACUGCCAAUGCCUGUGGACAUAAGAGACAGGAGUUACUAGGAGGCUCCACCCCUCUGCCAACUGAGCAAUUAUGAAGCUAAUAUUUUUCCAGAGAGUUCUGCUUAGAAUUCUGGAAGCCAAGAUCCCAUCUACCUCACUGAGACCUGGUGUGAUAUUUAAUUCUAUCUGGAUAUAUUUUAAGGAACAUUUCCUUCUGAUAUAACGGCAGUUCCCUUUUGCUACAGGACCUUACAGUUGAGUACAACAUGGGUCAUCCCACGUUUAGACUGGCUCUACCAUCCGUAGCAUCUGGAUUCCGACGCUCUGGCUUUCCCACCAUAACAGAGAGGACAGUGAUGAUGUACUGUAUCCGUGAUUAAAGGCUUUCCACGCCUGCCUUCUGUCCCUGACUGUUUCUGAGACGUCUGAGGGUAGGUCUGAAUUUCCACCAUCACUGUGACUCUCCACUGUCCACUGCUCAGAUGUGAUACGUUUGUUGAAAAGAAUGGGACCCUUUGGGACCAAAUGGUGGGAAUGUCCAUCCCGGGAUGACAGAGAGGAUGGGUUGGAGGUGCCAGAUCAUACACAGGGGAAACUAGUUUCCUUCCUAUGGGCAUGAGGACAGGUGGGCAAACCAACCUGGAGAAACCUUUUGAAAUACACACACACUGUCCCUACAGCCUGCUUUUUUUCCUCCUUCCCAGCUCAUGAGGGUCCCCAGCUUCUGGGUACCUGGAAAUCCAAGGGAAGCAUAAUGCUAUGCGCAUUAUCUUGGAAGGCUUAUGACUAUAAUCCCUAUUUAGAGAGUGCUUUGGCUUUGAGCUGAAGUGAUAUCAGUUUAGAAAACACGUAUGUGCACACAUGCACACAUACAUGCUUACACAUGUACACGCACAUAUACAUGUACACAUACACGUUGAAAACACAGGACCCACCCAAAGGGAGUUUUUAAUUAAAAAGGUAACCUGUGGUGUUCAGGUGAGAGCCUAUUUGCUGCAGAUAAUGUAUUGGCCAUAGCCUGAAGUUUCUCCUCCAUCUCAGAGUGAGUAUGGUACAGGUGUUCCCACUUUCUCAGCUGUGUCACGCCAUGAUGGAUUUUAUAUAAUGAGUCUCCCUGGGUCUUAGUUUCUCAAAUGCUGUGAUUAUAAGCAUGGCCACCAGGCCUAGCAUUUCCUACCCUCAACUAUGUUGCUGACAGGUGCUGCCAUCACUUCUGCAUUGCAGUGGACAGACAGACUGCUCUGAAGUUCAAGUUCCAGGUCCCAUCAAUCCCUAGGCGUACUGUAUCCACUCACUUGUAUGCGUGUAGCAUAAGGCAGUGUGGGGGUGGGAGGAGGGAUAUCUGUGCACUGUAAGGCGAAAGCUCACAAGCCCCGAACCUUCCAAUUAGACUCACGAGAGGAAUCCUCACUAGAGUUUAUUGGGACCUGCCUAUGUGUACAGAAGUGGACAGUCUUACUUAGGGGCAGAAGGGAAGACAGAAGAGUAUCUGGGGAACUACUGUCAUCCUAGGGGGUGCGGCUGUGGCCUGGUCACAGAUGUUAAUACCUGAUGAUGAACCAGAUGCAAGGGCAAGGCUGUCUUCUGAGAGAUGUCUCCCCCUUGAUCCUUUUGUCGCUUUAGACAUUCCAGAUGGAAGGAGGCCCUUCGACCUGCAAAAGUAGCCGGGGAACCGGAAUCAGGACGCAGGACAGAUGGCACCGCCCCGUGACAGCUCUGAUAUCGUUUGGAUCACAAUGUCUACCAGGGACCACGCAUUAAAGGCUCAGUCCCCAGUUUGGUAGAGUUGAAAGUACUGAUGAUGGAACUCAGGAUCACAAGCAUGCCUAGCAAACACUCUACCACUGAGCUAUGCUCGCAGAACUCCUUGCAUCUUGAAGGCUGACAGAGUACAGCCUGUUUGCUUUGAAUCCAACCCUGCAAUUAAGCACACUUAUUCCAAGAAUGUAUAUAUCUGUCUGCAGGGGGAGUUUGGGACACAAGGAUCUCAUAUUCUGGUGCUGCCCAGCCUUGCUUCCAUCCCCAGCUACAUAAGCCCUCUUCAGUUGUGCCCACUCUCACAGACCUGACUUCUGCUUGGCCUGGAACACAGCUCCAGCUACCCUGGCUGAUGGACUUGCUCUGCAUGUCUGUGCCCCUUGGCACUGAUAGCGCUCUGUGGGUAGCUGGUUAAAAAGGCCCACAUUUUCCCUUCUUCUAUGACCUCUUAGCUCCUUAACUGGAUAGAACAAAUCUUCUGGAUUUAAAAUCUGGCUUAUUUGGAGUCAGGCAAGUAUUUAAUAAGAACAAGGAUCUCUUCAUCUUAGCCUUUUUUUUUUUUUUAACUUUAAGGGCCCAAAAAGCUGGUGCAUACUAAAGCUCUUUCAGGCAAGUGAAGGGUAUCUCCAUUAGUCAGAAACGUUUACAAGGAGUCUAGAGAGGCCCAUGCUUAAGUAUGUACUUCUUAAACAAUAUUUAUUUUUGCAGGAUCUGAUACAUCCAGCACCUUCUGUUGUAAUUCUGUUUUAUUUAUUUGUAUCAAUUAUUAUUAAUUUAACCACAUAAUUACGAGGCACAGUGUGAUCAUUUGGCAUAGGUAGAUAAUGUGUAAUGACGAAGUCUAGUUAGUUACGCCCAUUUCCUUAAACAGCAAGCUUCACUGACUAUGUAGCACCAUGUAAUCGCACAGUAUUUAUCCAGUGCACCGAGAUAGUUAAACAGGCAUGCACUGUAUGUAAUGAAGGUCUCCAUCUUUUUAUUUUACUUUGUGUUUGGCACCUUUGGGGUCCUCUUGUCUAGUUAUUUAUAAACUGCAUGCUGAUCUGACUCUUCAGAGCACCACUUCUUACCAGAUGGGCAUUACAGCCACUCAGUGGAUCAAGAUGGAAGCUAAAGAUUCCCAAGAGGACUGGGCUAGCAUCCCUAAGUGUGCCAACUGUGCCUCUUGAGGGCAGCCUUAAGAGAAGCUGUACCAGAACAAGUUUAUUUAAGCAUCAGUAUAUGUGAGUACUGACUCACACUAGGAAAUACACCUUGGUCACAGCCCCAAAGUUUAAAAAAAUGCUAUUUAAAAGGUUUCCUGGAAGUGUUCUGCAGUGAGACAACCCAAGCUGCAGAGGGAAUCCUGGGUAGGUGUUCCAGACAUGCCAUUGUCUGGCCUAGAGGAAGGGAUCUCAGCACUGCUCAGUCCCCACCCUGUUCUACACGUACUAUCGCCUGGACAGGAGGCUUACAUAUCUGUGGAGAGCAGGCUGGGCUCACUGCAGUACUCGGCUUCUUCACUCAUCCUUACGCUGCGGGUCUCAUCUGGAAAUAUCUCCUGAUUCACCGUGGCUCCCUGGCUCUCUCGGGAGUGGCACCUGCAGCAUCCGAGGGUGGGGAAAUAUCAGAAUCCAUCAGGCCUUCUCCCCAGCAAGUAAGAUGACAUUGGCCAUACACAGAGACAUGGUCCACGGGUUCUGAUGAUGCCACAGAGCCACAGAUGCCACAAGCUGUGUCAGGGCUCUGUGUGGAAGACUCAAGGAGGUCUGAAUUCUGCUACCAACUCUCACACUGUGGCCCAAGACCUUUAGCUCCCUCCAUGCCUCAGUUUUCUCCUCGAUAAUAGUAGGUAGAAUAACAUGCAUGACGCAGGGGCUUAGUUGUAAGGUGACUGUUAUACAAGCGUGAGGCCCCAGGCUCAAUCCCUAGUAUUCAUGAGAAGCUGGGAGCCACCAGCUGAAUUGGUGAGCCCCAGGUUCAGUGAGGAAUCCCAGCUCAGUGCAAAGUAAUCGAAGGUACUGGAUGUCAAUCCCUGGCCUCCGCACACGUGCACACACAAGUACAUGUACCCCAUACACAAACUUAAACAUGUAAAGACAGAUGUGGAGACUUGGUUUUGAAGCAGCAUCCUGGUCUGGGCAGUCAAUACAAGGAACCACAGGCUAGCUGUGGGCAGCAGAGCCUUUAGGAGAUGGCUUGACCCAACUGACAAGUCCCUGGAAUCCUAUUCAAUACCUCUCUGUUCUGACCCUGAAGGGAAGGCACAGAGCAGGGACCCCACACAGAAGGCUUGUCUGAGCAGACAGAAUAAGCCCAUCUUUCCUGGUGUUGUCUGGGUAGGGUAUGUGAGCCCUCAUGGCCAGGCCUACCCUCCUGCUUACCUCUUAGAGCUGAGCUUCCAUGCUGCCUCCUGUACUCGGACAGCAGGGGACAAGGGAGGCCCAUGGCCCUCCACAGUGCUGACCGUGCUGGAGUAGCCAGCGGGAUGGGGGAAGCGGCCCAGGGCAGUGUUGUUGGCAUUGUUGAUGUUGGCAUUGGAGCCCGUGGAUGAGUAGCUGCUGGGGGUGAACGUGGAGUCCACCAGCUUCUCAUGGGACGGUGACUCAGUGUCAGCUUGGUUGUUCCCUGUCUUGUUGAUGUGCAGUGGGCGCUGGGUGGCGAACGUCUGAGGAAAGUUGCCCCUGCUGUCACUCUGAUAGUAGGUGACAUGGUUGCCGAACAGGCCUCCAGCCCUCUGGGGACAAGACAGAGGUGCAGGUGUAGAAGGCGUCUCCAUCAUCUCUCUCUCCUCUCCCCCUCACCCCUGCUUCCCUUGUACGGCAGUGGUUGAGAGGCACAGGCCACAGGGGAGCGAGCUUGACCUUCAGUUUGACCUCUACCACACUCUGGACACAUGGUAAAGGGAGGGACUUAGAUGCUCGUGGCCCUACAGGUACCCUACAGCACCAGGGCAGGAAUUCCUCCUGGGCCUGGACAGGCAAGUGGUUGCUGAUCUAGAAGCUUCCCUGGAAGGUUGUUCCCAAAAGAGCACUGGAGACUGAGGUUGGGUUUCAGGGACAAGUCUGAGAUGGCGUUCCCCCACAGAAGCCAGCUGUUUAGCUUUGGGGAGCCUGCUGGGAGUGCUGGAGGGGUGGGGAGAUGGAAGGGAAGGCAGGAACUAGAUUGUUUCAGUGGAAAUAUAACUGGCCUGUGGAGCUAGAAGCUGCACUGUGCAGAUUGAAGCUAGGUGCGUAGAGUCUACUGACUCAGUGAUAUCAUGGCUCCCUUUCCUGUAGGGGAUCCUCUGAGACUUGAAGUCAGGGAUAAGUGAUUUUCUCCAAUAUUCCUACUUUGUCCCAGAGCAAGGGGUGGGGGAAGUGAUGGUUUGCAAGGUUUGUCUAAUAAUCUUUGAUAUCUGAACGUCCCUGGGUUCUGGUGACAUCUUGGCUUCUAAGGUCUUAUGAGAGUGGUGUUGUGUAUCUCUGAGGCCAUUCACUGAUGGACAACUCAGUGAUGCCAGGAAGGUUGCAAGGCUGGCCAUAGCAGGGUGGGCUGGGCUUGGUUCCCUGUGUGCUUUAUAGUCUGGGAAACGGAUCUGGGGACUGGGGUUGGCAGAAAGAACAAGGGAGGUAACAAGAUGGGAGACUGUCGUUGUACGGCACAGCAGUGUUUGAUCUUUCCCACUGCAUUAAUAUUACUCCAGAAAAAGAGGAGGAGGCCUGGAGGGUACCACUGUGCCCCAGACAUCACAUGCUCCAUCUUAACCGGGCAGCUGAUGUUUGUCUGUCUGCCACAUGAGAACCCACAUCGAACAUGAAUGCUUAACCUACUUGUCCUCCAAGAAAAGCCGUAAGUUUAUAUUUCUACUUAGAUGUGCCAGAUAUUCAAAUAUUGGUGAAUAAAGCAGGCUUUCAGAUUAGAUGUGGCUCAGGAGUUCCUAUUCCACACCUUCUGAUGAGAAACUUCUCCAGGAAAAUUCCUUUCUAGAAACAGGAUCCCCCUGUUCUCUGAGAGCUGGCCAUCUUUUGAGCUGCUGUGUCCUAGAAGGAUGGCAUGGCAUGGCCUGGGCUCAGGAAGGAGGCAGAGGAUCAGGAGAUAGCUGGUUAGGGAGAGUGGGCACUCCUCAGAGAGAUAAGGCAAAACCCUGAGACUUAGUGCACGGUUGCCCCCGACUGAACUUCACAAAGGACACCAGUCAUGGCACUUACCCUGAAGAUGUCAUCUUCGGAGGCAGCAGACACCGCCUCCUUCAUAGCCUUGUCCAACUCCUCCUCAGCAGUCAGAUCCCCAGAGAUGGCCCGCCGGAUCUCAGGCCCAAUGUCAUGCAAGGUGCGCAAGCCAGCCUGGAACCCAGAAGGACACGUGAAGACCCAAGUCCUUUCCACUGAUCUUUCCACCUCGUGGCUCCUUCCCAAGUCCCUGCCUCUCUGCUCUGCCAGGCAGUUGGUUCUCCACACCAGGUGAUGGGCUUCCCUGGACACCCCUGCCCCCAUCAUCCUAGAGCAGAAGAAUCUAUCCAUCUUUCUAGGAGGAAUUAAGGUAUGUUACAGGAUCAGCAAGAACCAGGGGCUAGGAGAGGCAGCAGGGCUGCUGAGGGAAGCCUGUGGGCCAGAAUGUGAGGGGGAGGGGGAAGAAGAGCACACUGCCUUCCCAUAGCCGCCUUCGGGUUACAGUGCUCACAGGGGUUCUUGUGAUGGGACUUAGCCUCUAGGUAGCUAGCAGGGCUUGGACCCUCAAUAGGGUCAGUGGGAGGUGACCAGGACCUUUGAGUGUGGGCACCCCCUUCCAGCCCCUCACCUGGAGGGACAGUGCAUUCCUUUGUGAGGGCUUGCCCACCAGCCCCUGCUCUUUUCGCUUCUUGAAUUUCCUGAAGUACUCUUGGAUCAGGAAGGUGGCAUAGAACUUGCCCACUGUGACCUCGUCAUCUAAGGCAUACGGAGAAGAGAAAAAGAUGAGUGAUCCCACCAGGUUACCUUGAUAUUUUUCAGCACCUAAAACUUCUUUUAUUUAUUAAACUGCUUGUUCCUGUCUGUA